CCUACGGGCGGCUGCAGUGAGGAAUAUUGGUCAAUGGGCGAGAGCCUGAACCAGCCAAGUCGCGUGAAGGAUGAAGGAUCUAUGGUUUGUAAACUUCUUUUAUAUGGGAAUAAAGUGAGGAACGUGUUCCUUUUUGUAUGUACCAUAUGAAUAAGCAUCGGCUAACUCCGUGCCAGCAGCCGCGGUAAUACGGAGGAUGCGAGCGUUAUCCGGAUUUAUUGGGUUUAAAGGGUGCGUAGGUGGUUAAUUAAGUCAGCGGUGAAAGUUUGUGGCUCAACCAUAAAAUUGCAGUUGAAACUGGUUGACUUGAGUAUAUUUGAGGUAGGCGGAAUGCGUGGUGUAGCGGUGAAAUGCAUAGAUAUCACGCAGAACUCCGAUUGCGAAGGCAGCUUACUAAACUAUAACUGACACUGAAGCACGAAAGUGUGGGUAUCAAACAGGAUUAGAUACCCCAGUAGUC
rnacentral:rRNA from 1 species